UCGGGGCUCAUACCAGAAUCUAUUCCUUUUCCCUUCCUUCAUACGCAGCCUUCUUCCUCUCCUCUCCCCCAAAAACGCCGCCGCCGCCGCGUGCGACUCAAUCCGCUCUGCUCCGCCCACGACUCAGCUCGCCCUGCUCUGCCCGCGUCUCCAUGGCACUGGGUACGCUAUGCCCCGCCGUCUCCGGUCUUCUUUGCCCGUGGCGACGGCGUGCCGAUCUGGCCGCCCCGCGGCCGGGCACGAUCUGGAGGACCAGCAGGCGGUGGUGCACGGUCUGGGCGGCGGUGACCUGCGCGGCCCUGAUGCUGCACCGACGCCUCCUUCCUCCGUCGCCCAGGUCCAAGGCGGCUCUCUUCUAGCCAACCUCCAGCCAUGCAUCGUCCCUUCCUCCUUGGCGGACUCUCUCCUCCUCUAGAGAAGUAGCACGGGGCUCGUUGCUGUGCCUGAGCCGCCACAAGGACGUCGGGUGGAGGGGAUCCUGAAGUUGCUGCAGGUAGAAAACGGCGGAACAUUUGAUGUGGUGAACUAGCUGAAGGAAGAGCUAUGGUGGACAGAACCAAGACUUGCAAUGGAUGUGCAGAAAUAGCUAUAGGAGGAGCUAUGGGUGACAGAUCCAAGACAUGAGAUUCUAACCAUCUUCUUGCGAAGGCUUUCUUGCAAAUCAGUGGAUGUAACCAUGUCAUAGUUUGAUUUAAGUGACAUGGAACCUUGACAGUAGUCACAUGCUCUUUUAUCCUUUUUAUUGCUAGCAUUUUUAUCACUCUAGAUAUUCGGUUUCUAAUGUCAUUUGAAUUAAGAUCUUUUUGUCACUCAUCCAUGGAUCCUUUGCAUAUGAGAGGUAUUUUGUGUGAUUGCAACCAGUCAUUAUGUUUGGUGUUUGAACAUAUAUCAUGAUAUAUCUUGCUGGUACUGUUGUGCUAUCAUGGAAAAAACGUAGGUAGGUAUGAUUCUACCAUCUCACUUUCUUGACGAGUUAAAAUGUCCAUAUUUGUUAAUCCCAGUAUGAGCUACAGAUUAUAUUUUAUAAGUUUCCAUGUUAAUUCCUAAAGGUUUGCUACUGAUUUUAGCCUAUAACUCUUCUACUUUUAACCACUGGUUAUGCCUUUUUUUCUGGUACAGAGUGCUUUGUAGUGUCAGUGAUUUACAAGGGUGAUGCUUUGGUGCUAUUGUUCAUCGUUUCAAUGUCCCCAAAGCGGUGCCUUCAUUUUCUCUUUAUACCGCCUACAUGUUUCGGAGAUGGUCGAUGGGGAGAUGGUCCACCUCUGAUGCAGCUGGAGACGCUGCUGGCACUUAGCCUGGACCAGCACAUGGCGGAGAACCAAGCUGCAGAGGACCGAGGCUUCUUGUGUCCGUACGAAAGCGAAGCUGUACCGAUUGGUAGUGGAAGGAGCGGGGCACGGGUACAUGAAGCCUGGAUGUAAUCUGCUUUAAACUAUUUUUAAGGGAAUGCAUUACAGCAUACAGCAAGUUCAGACCAAGAAAACUGGCAUUUUGAUUCUCUCAAAUCUAUUGGAAAAAGUUCAUUGCUUACUGAAGAGGCAUAUGUGCUAAGGUGACGACCAGUAGAAAGGUAUGUGUUAUUUUGCACACUAUGUGCCACUCUCCUUGUUUUGAGGAAAUGUAAGUGUUCGCUUAGUAAAGUAUCUUUAUGUUUUCAUGCAUGGAUUUUACUUUAGUUCAUAAGAAAAUUGUAAUGUUCUAAAUUUUACUUUUAACAUAUUAGGACAACUCAGCCGUGAACAUUAAAAAAGAGCAAACACGAUUCUGGCUUUGGAGUCUGAGCCGGUAUUCACUUGAAUGUGUAAAGUUUUGUGUUUCUUUUCUUGAAUAACAUGUCUAUUAUAUUUAGGUUCACAUAUGAGAUUUCUCUGGGCGAACAAUCUUCAUAUUUAUAUCAUCGUCAGUGUGGACCAUGUUUGAUAGCAGCAGCCCUAGUUUCUUGUCAUUUUCAUAGUUUUGUGAAACUUUUCUUAGUUGGUCUGUUCAUUUGUCAAGAACUUGUUGUGCAAGUUAUUAUGUUAUAUAUUAGAACAAUUAUACCUAUAUAUAAAAAACUAGGACAGGACGAUGCUUAAUGCAUUAGUUUGUACUUACCAAAAUUAUCACUUUGCACAAGCUUUUGGUGAAGCUCCAUCUUAA